GAUGAACGCUGGCGGCGUGCCUAAUACAUGCAAGUCGAGCGAAUGGAUUAAGAGCUUGCUCUUAUGAAGUUAGCGGCGGACGGGUGAGUAACACGUGGGUAACCUGCCCAUAAGACUGGGAUAACUCCGGGAAACCGGGGCUAAUACCGGAUAACAUUUUGAACCGCAUGGUUCGAAAUUGAAAGGCGGCUUCGGCUGUCACUUAUGGAUGGACCCGCGUCGCAUUAGCUAGUUGGGGAGGUAACGGCUCACCAAGGCAACGAUGCGUAGCCGACCUGAGAGGGGGAGCGGCCACCCGGGGAAUGAGACACGGCCCAGAAUCCUACGGGAGGUAGCAGUAGGGAAUCUUCCGCAAUGGACGAAAGUCUGACGGAGCAACGCCGCGUGAGUGAUGAAGGCUUUCGGGUCGUAAAACUCUGUUGUUAGGGAAGAACAAGUGCUAGUUGAAUAAGCUGGCACCUUGACGGUACCUAACCAGAAAGCCACGGCUAACUACGUGCCAGCCGCCGCCGUAA
rnacentral:rRNA from 1 species